CAGUAUUCCUUUUGCCAGCGCUUAAUUGCGCGGCGAAAAAACCUUACACACAGUGUUUUUUGCUAUUACAAGAACUUUUUGCUUUGGUCUGGACUAGAAAUAGUUUGGGCCAGAGGUUUACUGAACUAAACUUCAAUAUUUAUAUUGAAUUGUUAUUUAUUUAAUUGUCAUUUGUUGAUUAAAUUCAAAAAUCUUACA
rnacentral:misc_RNA from 1 species